UUGAUCCUGCCAGACCCGACUGCUAUCCGGGUAAGACUAAGCCAUGCAAGUCAAAUGGGAUACCUAAAUUUCCCAUGGCGAACUGCUCAGUAACACGUGAUCAACUUACCCUAUGGAGGGAAAUAACCUCGGGAAACUGAGGAUAAUUUUCCAUAAUUGAGGAUGCCUGGAAUGGUUUCUCAAUGAAAGAACAAAUCAAAUGGGAUUUGUUUCACCAUAGGAUAGGAUUGCGUCCGAUUAUGGUAGUUGGUGAGGUAAUGGCUCACCAAGCCUAUUAUCGGUAAGGGCCGUGAGAGCGGGAGCCCUGAGAUGGGUCCUGAGACAAAGACCCAGGUCUUACGAGACGCAGCAGGCGCGGAACCUUCACAAUGCACGAAAGUGUGAUGAGGUUACCCGGAGUGCCACAUAACGUGGCUGUGGUGGGUGAGUAAGAUUCCCCAUUAGGAAGGAGAGGGCAAGGCUGGUGCCAGCCGCCGCGGUAAAACCAGCUCUCCAAGUGGUCGGGACUAUUAUUGGGCUUAAAGUGUCCGUAGCCUGUUUAGUAAGUUCC
rnacentral:rRNA from 1 species